rnacentral:rRNA from 1 species
UACGAAGGGGGCUAGCGUUGUUCGGAUUUACUGGGCGUAAAGCGCACGUAGGCGGAUUGUUAAGUGAGAGGUGAAAUCCCGGAGCUCAACUCCGGAACUGCCUUUCAUACUGGCAAUCUAGAGUCCGGAAGAGGUGAGUGGAACUCCUAGUGUAGAGGUGGAAUUCGUAGAUAUUAGGAAGAACACCAGUGGCGAAGGCGGCUCACUGGUCCGGUACUGACGCUGAGGUGCGAAAGCGUGGGGGAGCAAACAGG